UCCGGUUUUAACGCCACUUGGUCUCUUCUAUUUCAUUUAUGCGACUGAUCCCUUUUGACAUCUGUGGCUCUCUUCGUUUCUGCUGUGCUGCAAUUAAAUUUACUCUCAUCCCUAGAAUCCAAAACUCCCUCAUACGUCGCUCCUCUCCAUGCCCGUCCCUUGCUUUUCAUCCUGGCCUCUACUGCAAUCACGCCGCUUUCCCUGCUUCCGACAUCGUCCUGUUUAUUGGGGAGUACUUAUUGGAACUACAGCAAAGCUGCCAGCUUUGCUUUCUUUAUCAGUCAUUAGAAGAAUAGUGGAAGCAGAUGAAUUUAUGAGGGUUGGCUUAUAGAUGGAUGGCUUCCUAAUCUGUAUGACUACCAUGUUCACCGUUACUAUUCAGGUUCGUCCAAAACUUGCUCAAAGAGCAGACUGUUAGUGAUUUGAGCUGGUUGUAAAUAGUAUCAUCACUUUGUAAAUAACACUUUAAAAUCAUCUCUCUUACUGUAAACAUGCUAUAUGUAAAAUAAUCACCCUAAACGGUCUUAAAACUA